GGAAUUUUCCGCAAUGGGCGAAAGCCUGACGGAGCAAUACCGCGUGAGGGAAGACUGCCUAUGGGUUGUAAACCUCUUUUUUCAGGGAGGAAUAAAUGACGUGUACCUGAAGAAUAAGCAUCGGCUAACUCCGUGCCAGCAGCCGCGGUAAGACGGAGGAUGCAAGUGUUAUCCGGAAUCACUGGGCGUAAAGCGUCUGUAGGUGGUUGUUUAAGUCAACUGUUAAAUCUUGAGGCUCAACUUCAAAAUCGCAGUCGAAACUAUUCAACUAGAGUAUAGUAGAGGUAAAGGGAAUUUCCAGUGGAGCGGUGAAAUGCGUAGAUAUCGGGAAGAACACCAGUGGCGAAGGCGCUCUGCUGGGCCAUCACUGACGCUCAUGGACGAAAGCCAGGGGAGCGAAAGGGAUUAGAUACCCCUGUAGUC
rnacentral:rRNA from 1 species